UGACAGUAUGACCAUCUUGAUGGCAUUUCAAACCCCAGAGAUAGAUGUUAUUGGUCUGACUACAAUAUUUGGUAAUGUCAGUACUGUGGAUGCUACUAGGAAUGCUUUACUUCUGUGUGAGAUUGCCGGCCGCCCUGAUGUUCCAGUUGCUGAAGGAGCUCACGAACCUCUAAAGAUGACUUCAGGAGAUGAUCGUCAAAGAGGAAUAAUAAAGAAUAUAUUUGGUAAGCGUAGCAAGAAGAUUACUGUUAGCUCAUCCAGCAGGUCUAUAAGUAUUGCGGGCACCUCUUCAUUUCAGCCAACUACUCAGAGUCAGCCUAGCCCACAGUUCUACUCACCAGACCCAUACUUACCUUCACCGGACCUUACGCAGACUACUCCUUUCUACCCCUACUUCCCACCACCACCUUCUCAUGGUGUCUAUCCUACAUAUCCGCCAUAUUCAUAUCCGUCAUAUGUCCCACCACCUGCUCAGCCCUCUACAGCACUACCUCAACUCGCUACAGCAUCACCUCAGCCCGUUACAGCACUACCUCAGCCCGCUACUGCACCACCUCAGCCCGUUGCAACAAAGCAGGCGACAGAGGGUCGCAUGUUGAUUGAACUUGACGGUUUCAUCCGUCAAAGAAGCCAAUGCAUAAAAUACGAGCAUAAUACGGAGCAGAUACGAUGCUCCUUAUAUUUCUUGGAAGAAAAUCUCAAAAGAAAAAGAAUUUUGAGAGGCGUGGCUCGACUCGCUUGCGAGACAUGUUUACUGAUAUUAAAAAGGCAGGCCAGCGACCACUCUGGAUUGACGAGGGUUAUGGGCAGAGUUGAGCAGUGCUUGGGGUAGCCCGGAUUAUACCAGGAGGGAUCAGAAUAGACAGAACAUAGCUUCUGAUUUUGGAGGCUUGGGUAGUUCCCUUCAUACAGGGGGUUCUGUUCCUCAUACUGAGCAUAAAAGACAUUUAAAAAAGGUGCUGGGUAAAUAACUGACUCCUGUUGAAUUGCAUAGUCAUAUCCAUAAGCGGCAGGAGGACCACCAAUGGGUUUACGAGCGAGCGAGGAAAGCUUAUGAGUACACACGACUUCGAGAAAAUUAGGCUACAGUAGGUGAAGGUUCUUCUGCUAGAUCAGCGGAAUAUUCUAACUAUCGCACUUGGCAGCAAGCGGCAGGAGGAAUGUAGCACGACAGAGUAUAUGGGUUAGGCUCGCAAGCUUAUGCAUAUGAAGGGCAGACAUCUAGUGGCUCCAGUUUUUCAUCUAAUACACAUGAUUCUUUAUAUAUCCAACAGAUAGCUGUCCUUAAAAUCAAGCUAGAACAGGUAAGGAAAGCACAAAAUGAUUGGCAAAUGUAAAUACAGCAGUAGUAGAUGCAUAUGCAGCAACAACAAGCUCAAAUGUUAGAAGAAAUGUGAAAGAUGAGGGAGUAGCUGAGUAGUCGGAGGAGUACAGCAUCAACUGAGGAUGGAACUGAAUCAGAGUAGAUGUUAUUUAUCUAUUUUACUGAUGUGGACAUCUGUUUCUAUAUGUUUUAUGUCAUGUUUAUAUGUGUUGUUUGAACAUCUUUUUUGUUAUGUUUAUAUGUGGACAUCUGUUUCUACAUGUUUAGUUAAUUAUUGUUUGGACAUGUUUGAUCAUGUAAUUGGUGAUGUUUUUUAUCAGAAUUUGAUGUAUAAAUGCAAAUUGUGUUGUUUAUGUGUUCUUUUAUGCAGGUUUUUUGUGGAAAUCACUUUUUAAAGAAAGGAAGGUUUUUUUCUUUAUGCUCCAGGUUUUCGACGGAAUAUCCGCCGGCGUCUCUGUCGGUACAACGAUACGGUGUUUUCGGUGGAUAUUAUCCGACGGUUACGAAUCGUCUUAUUAAUGAUGGAAGAUCCGCCGGUAUGAAAAAAGAAAAACACGAGAUGUCGAGAUUCACAUAUAUUUCGCCGGAAAUACUGUCAGAAAAUGUUUCCGGCGCAAAUUGUUAGCCGGAAAAAAUUUUCGACUAGCAAUAAACCGGCGGAGAGUUUUUCGCCUGAAAUCCGCCGGAAAGCAACAAUUUUUGGCCAUUUUCAUUGAUACCGGUGGAUUUAGUCCGCCGGUAUAGGCCUGUUUUCCUGUAGUGAACUGCCCUCGAAGAAGGGAGAAAAACUGUUUUCGGGAAAUGACAAAAGACUGCGCGAGGGUUGGGCGGUCCGAAUUGAACAAAUAUAUAUUAGGUUAGCAUUUUUUUUAAUUUUUAGAGGUGGACGCUGCUAAAUCUUGAGGCGAGGCGCGCCUUGAGGCGUGCCUUAGUAAACUUGAGGCAGGUCUCAAUAAACUUGAGGCGGGCCUCAGUAAACUUGAGGCGUACACUUCAAAUCCUUAACUCAUUGUGUGAGCUUUAAGGCUUAAAGGGGCGAAAUUGUGCUGAGGCGCGCCACUUAUUGCGCAAUUUUAAACCAUGAUUUAAACUAACUGUUAUUAAUCUUAAUUAAAUAAUUAUUUUUAAUAACGAUUAGUUAAUCAAUCCUAUCUAAUCACUUAUAAUUAUGAUUAAUCAUCAUUAAUUUUAAUUGAUUG